GGACUACCCGGGUAUCUAAUCCUGUUUGCUCCCCACGCUUUCGCGUCUCAGCGUCAGUGACCGUCCAGGUGGCCGCCUUCGCCACUGGUGUUCCUCCCGAUAUCUACGAAUUUCACCUCUACACCGGGAAUUCCGCCACCCUCUCCGGUACUCAAGCUCGCUAGUUUCAGGCGCACUUCCUCGGUUAAGCCGAGGGCUUUCACACCUGACUUGGUGAGCCGCCUACACGCGCUUUACGCCCAAUAAUUCCGAACAACGCUUGCACCCUCUGUAUUACCGCGGCGGCUGGCAC
rnacentral:rRNA from 1 species